rnacentral:rRNA from 1 species
CUGGACCAUUCCAUCCCUUAUUCUUGUGGCUAUGCAUCGGAUUCGGAUGACGAAGGUCCCGAUGAACAAGUUGAUGAGGAGGGGUUCACGGUGAAGGAGGCCGAACCUUUCGAGAAGGUAUUCGGGCGGGAUCACCGGACUACAUUGUUCAAGGAUGUUAGUCUCGCGGAUGAAGCCGUGGUAGAUGGUGGCCAAGGUAUAUCUCUUGGGGUUAGGCUAAGAUCUCACCGUGAUUUGGAAGACGGCAAGAACGGGAUUGCUAAAGUGUCUAAGUUCGAGACCUUCUUGGAAUUGAAGAUGUGUCUCGACAACUACUCGGUUACGCAUUAUCGUCCACACAAGGUGGUGAACUCGGACGUCAAUGUGCGCUACACGGUUGCAUGUGCAUUUGAAGAUGAAGAAUGUCCGUGGAUUGUGCGUGCAAGACCAUGGAAAGGAGGUCCCACUUGGCACGUAGUGAGUUGUGUGCCAACUCACAUGUCCCGAGGCAAAAGGGUGGAUGGCAAGGUUGUGUCCCAAGAGACCACAGACAACUCACGUCCAAGUUCAUCGCUUACAGGCUCUCCAACUCAAUAUCCACACUUCCAACAAUGA